rnacentral:rRNA from 1 species
UUAAGCGACUAAGCGUACACGGUGGAUGCCCUGGCAGUCAGAGGCGAUGAAGGACGUGCUAAUCUGCGAUAAGCGUCGGUAAGGUGAUAUGAACCGUUAUAACCGGCGAUUUCCGAAUGGGGAAACCCAGUGUGUUUCGACACACUAUCAUUAACUGAAUCCAUAGGUUAAUGAGGCGAACCGGGGGAACUGAAACAUCUAAGUACCCCGAGGAAAAGAAAUCAACCGAGAUUCCCCCAGUAGCGGCGAGCGAACGGGGAGGAGCCCAGAGCCUGAAUCAGUGUGUGUGUUAGUGGAAGCGUCUGGAAAGGCGCGCGAUACAGGGUGACAGCCCCGUACACAAAAAUGCACAUGCUGUGAGCUCGAUGAGUAGGGCGGGACACGUGGUAUCCUGUCUGAAUAUGGGGGGACCAUCCUCCAAGGCUAAAUACUCCUGACUGACCGAUAGUGAACCAGUACCGUGAGGGAAAGGCGAAAAGAACCCCGGCGAGGGGAGUGAAAAAGAACCUGAAACCGUGUACGUACAAGCAGUGGGAGCACAGAGCAAUCUGUGUGACUGCGUACCUUUUGUAUAAUGGGUCAGCGACUUAUAUUCUGUAGCAAGGUUAACCGAAUAGGGGAGCCGAAGGGAAACCGAGUCUUAACUGGGCGUUAAGUUGCAGGGUAUAGACCCGAAACCCGGUGAUCUAGCCAUGGGCAGGUUGAAGGUUGGGUAACACUAACUGGAGGACCGAACCGACUAAUGUUGAAAAAUUAGCGGAUGACUUGUGGCUGGGGGUGAAAGGCCAAUCAAACCGGGAGAUAGCUGGUUCUCCCCGAAAGCUAUUUAGGUAGCGCCUCGUGAAUUCAUCUCCGGAGGUAGAGCACUGUUUCGGCAAGGGGGUCAUCCCGACUUACCAACCCGAUGCAAACUGCGAAUACCGGAGAAUGUUAUCACGGGAGACACACGGCGGGUGCUAACGUCCGUCGUGAAGAGGGAAACAACCCAGACCGCCAGCUAAGGUCCCAAAGUCAUGGUUAAGUGGGAAACGAUGUGGGAAGGCCCAGACAGCCAGGAUGUUGGCUUAGAAGCAGCCAUCAUUUAAAGAAAGCGUAAUAGCUCACUGGUCGAGUCGGCCUGCGCGGAAGAUGUAACGGGGCUAAACCAUGCACCGAAGCUGCGGCAGCGACACUGUGUGUUGUUGGGUAGGGGAGCGUUCUGUAAGCCUGUGAAGGUGUGCUGUGAGGCAUGCUGGAGGUAUCAGAAGUGCGAAUGCUGACAUAAGUAACGAUAAAGCGGGUGAAAAGCCCGCUCGCCGGAAGACCAAGGGUUCCUGUCCAACGUUAAUCGGGGCAGGGUGAGUCGACCCCUAAGGCGAGGCCGAAAGGCGUAGUCGAUGGGAAACAGGUUAAUAUUCCUGUACUUGGUGUUACUGCGAAGGGGGACGGAGAAGGCUAUGUUGGCCGGGCGACGGUUGUCCCGGUUUAAGCGUGUAGGCUGGUUUUCCAGGCAAAUCCGGAAAAUCAAGGCUGAGGCGUGAUGACGAGGCACUACGGUGCUGAAGCAACAAAUGCCCUGCUUCCAGGAAAAGCCUCUAAGCAUCAGGUAACAUCAAAUCGUACCCCAAACCGACACAGGUGGUCAGGUAGAGAAUACCAAGGCGCUUGAGAGAACUCGGGUGAAGGAACUAGGCAAAAUGGUGCCGUAACUUCGGGAGAAGGCACGCUGAUAUGUAGGUGAAGUCCCUCGCGGAUGGAGCUGAAAUCAGUCGAAGAUACCAGCUGGCUGCAACUGUUUAUUAAAAACACAGCACUGUGCAAACACGAAAGUGGACGUAUACGGUGUGACGCCUGCCCGGUGCCGGAAGGUUAAUUGAUGGGGUCAGCGCAAGCGAAGCUCUUGAUCGAAGCCCCGGUAAACGGCGGCCGUAACUAUAACGGUCCUAAGGUAGCGAAAUUCCUUGUCGGGUAAGUUCCGACCUGCACGAAUGGCGUAAUGAUGGCCAGGCUGUCUCCACCCGAGACUCAGUGAAAUUGAACUCGCUGUGAAGAUGCAGUGUACCCGCGGCAAGACGGAAAGACCCCGUGAACCUUUACUAUAGCUUGACACUGAACAUUGAGCCUUGAUGUGUAGGAUAGGUGGGAGGCUUUGAAGUGUGGACGCCAGUCUGCAUGGAGCCGACCUUGAAAUACCACCCUUUAAUGUUUGAUGUUCUAACGUGGACCCGUGAUCCGGGUUGCGGACAGUGUCUGGUGGGUAGUUUGACUGGGGCGGUCUCCUCCUAAAGAGUAACGGAGGAGCACGAAGGUUGGCUAAUCCUGGUCGGACAUCAGGAGGUUAGUGCAAUGGCAUAAGCCAGCUUGACUGCGAGCGUGACGGCGCGAGCAGGUGCGAAAGCAGGUCAUAGUGAUCCGGUGGUUCUGAAUGGAAGGGCCAUCGCUCAACGGAUAAAAGGUACUCCGGGGAUAACAGGCUGAUACCGCCCAAGAGUUCAUAUCGACGGCGGUGUUUGGCACCUCGAUGUCGGCUCAUCACAUCCUGGGGCUGAAGUAGGUCCCAAGGGUAUGGCUGUUCGCCAUUUAAAGUGGUACGCGAGCUGGGUUUAGAACGUCGUGAGACAGUUCGGUCCCUAUCUGCCGUGGGCGCUGGAGAACUGAGGGGGGCUGCUCCUAGUACGAGAGGACCGGAGUGGACGCAUCACUGGUGUUCGGGUUGUCAUGCCAAUGGCACUGCCCGGUAGCUAAAUGCGGAAGAGAUAAGUGCUGAAAGCAUCUAAGCACGAAACUUGCCCCGAGAUGAGUUCUCCCUGACCCUUUAAGGGUCCUGAAGGAACGUUGAAGACGACGACGUUGAUAGGCCGGGUGUGUAAGCGCAGCGAUGCGUUGAGCUAACCGGUACUAAUGAACCGUGAGGCUUAACCUU